UACGUAGGGUCCGAGCGUUAAUCGGAAUUACUGGGCGUAAAGCGUGCGCAGGCGGUUUUGUAAGCCAGAUGUGAAAGCCCCGGGCUCAACCUGGGAACUGCAUUUGGGACUGCAAAGCUGGAGUACGGCAGAGGGAGGUGGAAUUCCACGUGUAGCAGUGAAAUGCGUAGAUAUGUGGAGGAACACCGAUGGCGAAGGCAGCCCCCUGGGUUAACACUGACGCUCAUGCACGAAAGCGUGGGGAGCAAACAGG
rnacentral:rRNA from 1 species